GCAUAGCAAGGCCUCAAAUCUGUUGGUAGAGCACGAGACUCUGAAUCUCAAGGUUAUGGGUUCAAGCCCCAUGUUGGGCA